UUGGAACGUGCACGGUGAAAGGCUUACUGUCAGGAUACCGGUCAAUAUGUGUGUGAUAACCCAGAUUUUUUUUAAAAAAAAAAAAAAUUAAUUUAUAAUUAUUUUUGAAUUCAGUUCAGUGGAGGUGUAAUAGUAAUUAUUUUUUUAUAUAGUUUAUAUGUGUGUAUGUGUGUGUGUGUGUGUGGUGAGGGAGAGAGAUUUGUCUACUGAAAGGUAAAGGUGCCGAAAUGAGAAAAGAGAUAAAGAUGGAUUGUAAAUAUGGUGUGGGUCCCAUUUGUCUUUGGCUUCACGUGGGCUUUAUUUGGUGAGAUUGUGUUUCUUGUUUGUGAAAUGAAAAGAAAAAGAAAAAGGAAGUUGGUGUGAUGUAGUCGUGGGGCCCACAGAAGAUUUGUUGAACCAAAUUUCUUGGCUUUGAAUUAUUCACGUGGUCUUGGUUUUUUUUUUUUUUUUUGGUGGCUGAUGGAGUUGUUAGGUGUAUAUUAGGAAAGUGAAGAUAAGAAAUGAGAAGAUAAGGAAAAGAAAAGGUAGGUGGCGGGGUCCACUUAUUUAUUAUUUGUUGGGUGAGUUGUAUGGUUUGGGUUGGUGUAAAUUGCCUAUUUAUUGAAGUAUUGGUCUUGAGUGUUUCAUGUACUAAGUGAGACAAAUUAGAGAAUAGAAAGAGAGCCGAGACAGAGAGUUAAGAGAGAGAAAAAUAGAGUGAAUUGAGACAAAGAGAGUUUGAGCAGACAGUGAGUGAGUCGAGAGUUGCAGAAGGCGCAGUAGAAGCUUGGAGACUUGAUGAUCCAGUGAGAAAAUUCUUUUUCAGUGUAGGGUUUUCUAUACCUUGAAUGGCAUGGGGAGGUUUUGCUUAAAUGUUUUGAUUAAAUGUUUUAAUUAAAUGCAUAUGUAUUUUGUUUAUACUCACUUGUAUAUGUUUAUUUUGUGAAGCUAUUUUGUUAAACCUCCAUGAAAUUCUUGUUAUGGUUUUUCCUACUGGGACUUUUGUCUCACCACCCUCCAGUUUCAGGUACCGAAGAUGAAUGAGGAUUACUAGAGACUGGCUUAGGAUGAAGAGUUGGCGUUGCGAGUUUUAUUUUUAUUAUUUAGAGAAUUUUUUUGUAUAUUUGAGGCAAUUGACUUUGUAUAAAGAGAGGGAAAAUUUUAUGAUCUUGGGUAUAUUUUGAUGUAUUUGAAUUGAAAAAAUUAAGGAUUUUGUUAAAAUUUUCGGGGCGUGAUAAAAUGGUAUCAGAGCUGUACCCAGUCGGAAGUGUGAGUGUAGUGAUGAUGUAGACGGGUGUGUGUGGGCGAGUGUGUAGCACUGGUGAGCUACCACUUGUAGCUGGGUGUGUGUGGGCGGAUGGCGGUCACUGGCAGCUACUGGGAUGGUUGGUUAGUGUGGUUGGGCAGGUAGCCCAGAUUUGAGAUUGUUUGUUUUUUUAGUGGGUGGGCGGGUGACGCAUCUACUUGCUACCACAAUGGUUACGGAGUGUAUGGGCGGGUGACUAGCACUGUCAGCUACCACAACGUCCCACAAAUCACUGUAUCUCACAUCGCCUGGGGUAAGGAUUUGGAUUUUGGUUUUGUGAUUGUUCGUGUUUUUGGCUCUACGAAGACUGUUGGAUCUGAAUUUCGGGGAUGAAAUUCUUUUUAAGUGGUGGAGAUUGUGAUAACCCAGAUUCUUUUAAAAAACAAAAAAAAAUUAAUUUAUAAUUAUUUUUGAAUUAAGUUCAGUGGAGGUGUAGUAGUAGUUAUUUUUUUAUAUAGUUUAUGUGUGUGUGUGUGUGUGUGUGUGUGUGUGUGAGAGAGAUUUGUCUACUGAAAGGUGAAGGUGCCAAAAUAAGAAAAGAGAUAAAGAUGGAUUGUAAUGAUGGUGUGGGUCCCAUUUGUCUUUGGCUUCACGUGGGCUUUAUUUGGUGAGAUUGUGUUUGUUGUCUGUGAAAUGAAAAUAAAAAGAAAAAGGAAGUUGGUGUGAUGUAGUCUCGGGGCCCACAGAAGAUUUGUUAAACCAAAUUUCUUGGCUUUCAAUUGUUCACGUGGUCUUGGUUUUUUUUUUUUUUUUUUUUUUUUUUUUUUUUUUUUUUUGUGUGGCUGAUGGAGUUGUUUGGCGUAUAUUAGGAAAGUGAAGAUAAGAAAUGAGAAGAUAAGGAAAAGAAAAGGUGGGUGGCGGGGUCCACUUAUUUAUUAUUUGUUGGGUGACUUGUAUGGUUUGGGUUGGUGCAAAUUGCCUAUUUAUUGAAGUAUUGGUCUUGAGUGUUUCAUGCAUUAAGUGAGACAAAUUAGAGAAUAGAAAGAGAGCCGAGACAGAGAAUUAAGAGAGAAAAAAAUAGAGUGAACUGAGACAGAGAGAGUUUGAGCAGACAGUGAGUGAGUUGAGAGUUACAAAGGGCGCAGCGGAAGCUUGGAGACUUAAUGAUCCAGUGAGGAAAUUCUUUUUCAGUGUAGAGUUUUCUAUACCUUGAAUGGCAUGAGGAGGUUUUGCUUAAAUGUUUUAAUUAAAUGCAUAUGUAUUUUGUUUAUACUCACUUGUAUAUGUUUAUUUUGUGAAGCUGUUUUGUUAAACCUCAAUGAAAUUCUUGUUAUGGUUUUUCCUACUGGGACUUUUGUCUCACCACCCUCCAGUUUCAGGUACCGAAGAUGAACGAGGAUCGCUAGAGAUGGGCUUAGGAUGAAGAGUUUGCAUUGCGAAUUUUAUAUUUAUUAUUUGGAGAAUUUUUUUUUAUAUAUUUAAGGCAAUUGACUUUGUAUAAAGAGAGGGUAAUUUUUAUGAUCCUGGGUGUAUUUUGAUGUAUUUGAAUUGAAUAAAUUUAGGAUUUUGUUAAAAUUUUCGGGGCAUGACAAAAUGGUAUCAUAGCUGUACCCAGCCGGAAGUGUAAGUGUAGUGAUGAUGUAGACGGGUGUGUGUGGGUAAGUGUGUUGCACUGGUGAGCUACCACUUGUAGACGGGUGUGUGUGGGCGGAUGGCGGUCACUGGCAUCUACUGGGAUGGUUGGUUAGUGUGGUUGGGCAGGUAGCCCAGAUUUGAGAUUAUUUGUUUUUUUUAGUGGGUGGGCGGGUGACGCAUCGACUUGCUACCACAACGAUUACGGAGUGUGUGGGUGGGUGACUAGCACUGUCAGCUACCACAACGUCCUACAUAUCACUGUAUCUCACAUCGCCUGGGGUAAGGAUUUGGAUUUGGGUUUUGUGAUUGUUGGUGUUUUUGGCUUUACGAAGACUGUUGGAUUUGAAUUUUGGGGACGAAAUUCUUUUUAAGUGGUGGAGAUUAUGAUAACCCAGAUUUUUCUUUAAAAAAAAAAAAAAUUUAAUUUAUAAUUAUUUUUUAAUUUAGUUCAGUGGAGGUGUAGUAGUAGUUAUUUUUUUUAUAUAGUUCAUAUGUGUGUGUGUGUGUGUGUGUGUGAGAUUUGUCUACUGAAAGGUGAGGUGCCAAAAUGAUAAAAGAGAUAAAGAUGGAUUGUAAUGAUGGUGUGGGUCCCAUUUGUCUUUGGGUUCACGUGGGCUUUAUUUGGUGAGAUUGUGUUUGUUGUUUGUGAAAUGAAAAGAAAAAGAAAAAGGAAGUUGGUGUGAUGUAGUUUCGGGGCCCACAGAGGAUUUGUUGAACCAAAUUUCUUGGCUUUGAAUUGUUCACGUGGUCUUGGUCUUUUUUUUUUUUUUUUUUUUUUUUUUUUUUUUUUUUGUGGCUGAUGGAGUUGUUUGGUGUAUAUUAGGAAAGUGAAGAUAAGAAAUGAGAAGAUAAGGAAAAGAAAAGGUGGGUGGCGGGGUCCACUUAUUUAUUAUUUGUUGGGUGACUUGUAUGGUUUGGGUUGGUGCAAAUUGCCUAUUUAUUGAAGUAUUGGUCUUGAGUGUUUCAUGCACUAAGUGAGACAAAUUAGAGAAUAAAAAGAGAGCCGAGAUAGAGAGUUAAGAGAGAGAAAAAUAGAGUGAACUGAGACAACGAGAGUUUGAGCAGACAGUGAGUGAGUCGAGAGUUGCAGAGGGUGCAGCGAAAGUUUGGAGACUUGAUGAUCCAGUGAGGAAAUUCUUUUUCAGUGUAGGGUUUUCUAUACCUUGAAUGGCAUGGGGAGGUUUUGCUUAAAUGUUUUUAUUAAAUGCAUAUGUAUUUUGUUUAUACUCACUUGUAUAUGUUUAUUUUGUGAAGUUGUUUUGUUAAACCUCCAUGAAAUUCUUGUUAUGGUUUUUCCUACUGGGAAUUUUGUCUCACCACCCUCCAGUUUCAGGUACCGAAGAUGAACGAGGAUUGUUAGAGAUGGGUUUAUGAUGAAGAGUUAGCGUUGCGAGUUUUAAUUUUAUUAUUUGGAGAAUUUUUUUUGUAUAUUUAAAGCAAUUGACUUUGUAUAAAGAGGGUAAUUUUUAUGAUCCUGGGUGUAUUUUGAUGUAUUUGAAUUGAAUAAAUUGAGGAUUUUGUUAAAAUUUUCGGGGUGUGACAAAAUGGUAUCAGAGCUGUACCCAGCCGGAAGUGUGAGUGUAGUGAUGAUGUAGACGGGUGUGUGUGGGCGAGUGUGUAGCACUGGUGAGCUACCACUUGUAGCCGGGUGUGUGUGGGCAGAUGGCGGUCAUUGGUAGCUACUGGGAUGGUUGGUUAGUGUGGUUGGGCAAGUAGCCCAGAUUUGAGAUUGUUUGUUUUUUUAGUAGGUGGGCGGGUGACGCAUCGACUUGCUACCACAACGAUUACGGAGUGUGUGGGCGGGUGACUAGCAUUAUCAGCUACCACAACGUUCUACAUAUCACUGUAUCUCACAUCGCCUAGGGUAAGGAUUUGGAUUUUGGUUUUGUGAUUGUUGGUGUUUUUGGCUCUACGAAGACUGUUGGAUCUGAAUUUCGGGGACGAAAUUCUUUUUAAGUGGUGGAGAUUGUGAUAACCCAGAUUUUUUUUAAAAAAAAAAAAAAAAAAAUUUAAUUUAUAAUUAUUUUUUAAUUUAGUUCAGUGGAGCUGUAGUAGUAGUUAUUUUUUUAUAUAGUUUAUAUGUGUGUGUGUGUGUGUGUGUGAGAGAGAAAGAGAGAGAGAUUUGUCUGCUGAAUAGUGAAGGUGCCGAAAUGAGAAAAGAAAUAAAGAUUAAUUGUAAUGAUGGUGUAGGUCCCAUUUGUCUUUGGCUUCACGUGGGCUUUAUUUGGUGAGAUUGCAUUUCUUGUUUGUGAAAUGAAAAGAAAAAGAAAAAGGAAGUUGGUGCGUUGUAGUCGCAGGGCCCACAGAAGAUUUGUUGAACCAAAUUUCUUGGCUUUGAAUUGUUCACGUGGUCUUGGUUUUUUGUUUUUUUUUUUUGUUUUUUUUGUGGCUGAUGGAGUUAUUAGGUGUAUAUUAGGAAAGUGAAGAUAAGAAAUGAGAAGAUAAGGAAAAGAAAAGGUGGGUGGCGGGGUCCACUUAUUUAUUAUUUGUUGGGUGAGUUGUAUGGUUUGGGUUGGUACAAAUUGCCUAUUUAUUGAAGUAUUGGUCUUGAGUGUUUCAUGCACUAAGUGAGACAAAUUAGAGAAUAGAAAGAGAGCCGAGACAGAGAGUUAAGAGAGAGAAAAAUAGUGUGAACUAAGAUAGAGAGAGUUUGAGCAGACAGUGAGUGAGUCGAGAGUUGCAGAGGGCGCAGCGGAAGUUUGGAGACUUGAUGAUCCAGUGAGGAAAUUCUUUUUCAGUUUUCAGGUUCCGAAGAUGAACGAGAAUUGCUAGAGGCGGGCUUAGGAUGAACAGUUGGCGUUGCGAGUUUUAUUUUUAUUAUUUGGAGAAUUUUUUUUUGUAUAUUUGAGGCAAUUGACUUUGUAUAAAGAGAGGGCAAUUUUUAU